UACGUAGGGCGCAAGCGUUGUUCGGAAUUACUGGGCGUAAAGCGCACGUAGGCGGCUUUGUAAGUUAGAGGUGAAAGCCUGGAGCUCAACUCCAGAACUGCCUUUGAUACUGCAUGGCUUGAAUCCAGGAGAGGUGAGUGGAAUUCCGAGUGUAGAGGUGAAAUUCGUAGAUAUUCGGAAGAACACCAGUGGCGAAGGCGGCUCACUGGACUGGUAUUGACGCUGAGGUGCGAAAGCGUGGGGAGCAAACAGG
rnacentral:rRNA from 1 species